GUGUUGCGUGAAAGAAGAGGUUAGCACUCCCCUUGAGAAGGAUGGAAGAGGUCCUUGUGGCCUUUCCAAAACAUAUACGGUUAAGGCAUUGCCACCUACUUCGUGGCAUCUAACCAUUAGCGUGG